UGCUAGUAGUAGGAUUACCAAUGAGGGGAGGCGAUAGAGGGCGCUACUUCUUGAAGCUGCCGCGGACGCCGGGGCGGGCCUUGGAGGUCUCAGGUGCGUGGCUGGUGUGGAGGUUGACGAGCUUGGACUCGUCGAAGGGAAUCUUGGGGUGGCGGGCGUCGUGGUGUAUCUGCAUGGACUUAAGGUCGGGGACGGUGGUCUUGCAGUGGGGGCACUCCAGCUUGGCGUGGCCGCCCUUUUCCUGGCCCGACCGGUCCGCCACCCCCGCCCUGCCGCCCCCUCGGUUCGUCGUCGCCGCGUCGAUCUUUGCCGCGAUCUCCUUCGCCGUGUGUU
rnacentral:lncRNA from 1 species